CCCAAAUCGAAAACACAACAAAACCCAGUCGAAAAGGAAAAAAAAAAGCUGAGAAAAACGAGAGCAGAGAAAAAAUGUGACAGACGAACCAAAUGAGAAGCGAUGUGGAUGUGGAAUGGGGGGGAGGGAGGCAAGAGGAUGGCAUCCUUGACGUUUGUUCGCUCGUUGACGCCCAAAAGCAACUCGCAACGCUUUCACUCUCUCUUCCACCCCCCCUCUUUCCCUCUACCAUUCCUCAUUGCGGGUGUCCAGAGUCCCGUUCAGAGUGCGAGAUGUGUUCCAUGUCUAAUGUCGAAAUGCCACCUCUCCUGGCUGACCAUCUCGAGUGUGCUCUGUUUUCUGUUUGACGAUGACAUUGGUGGUAGAUGCUUCAGUUGCUGCCUCUGUUGCUCUUGCCGCACGAAUUUGUCCUGCGCCUCUAUUUCGUAUUUGGUCACGGCGCAAAUUUUUGAUGCUUAACUAGAAAUGGCAGCUGAAGUGGCAGCAG